UACGUAGGUGGCAAGCGUUGUCCGGAUUUACUGGGCGUAAAGAGCGCGCAGGCGGUUAUUCAAGUCGAAUGGGAAAGCCCCCGGCUUAACUGGGGAGGGUCAUUCGAUACUGUUUAACUUGAAGGCAGGAGAGGGUAGUGGAAUUCCCGGUGUAGUGGUGAAAUGCGUAGAUAUCGGGAGGAACACCAGUGGCGAAGGCGACUACCUGGCCUGUUCUUGACGCUGAGGCGCGAAAGCUGGGGGAGCAAACGGG
rnacentral:rRNA from 1 species